CUUCACCGAGCCCAGCCACAGCGGCCGUUCCUCCGACCGCUCCUGGCCGUAGGUGGCCAGCAGCGCCUGCGCCUC
rnacentral:antisense_RNA from 1 species